AGAGUUUGAUCCUGGCUCAGAACGAACGCUGGCGGCGUGCUUAACACAUGCAAGUCGAACGUGAUUGGAAGCUUGCUUCCAUGAAAGUGGCGCACGGGUGAGUAACGCGUGGAUAACCUGCCCUGGUAUCCGGAAUAACAUCUCGAAAGGGGUGCUAAUACCGGAUAAGCCUACGGAGCCCUCGGUCUCUGCAGGAAAAGGUGGCCUCUAUUUAUAAGCUACCGUAUCAGGAUGGGUCCGCGUACCAUUAGCUAGUUGGUGGGGUAAUGGCCUACCAAGGCGACGAUGGUUAGCUGGUCUGAGAGGAUGAUCAGCCACACUGGAACUGAGACACGGUCCAGACUCCUACGGGAGGCAGCAGUGGGGAAUUUUGCGCAAUGGGGGAAACCCUGACGCAGCAACSCCGCGUGAGUGAUGAAGGCUUUCGGGUCGUAAAGCUCUGUCAGAGGGGAAGAAAUGGAAACGGUUAAUACCCGUUUUUCUUGACGGUACCCUCAAAGGAAGCACCGGCUAACUCCGUGCCAGCAGCCGCGGUAA
rnacentral:rRNA from 1 species